GGUAACCUGCCCUUAAGUGGGGGAUAACAUUUGGAAACAGAUGCUAAUACCGCAUAAAUCCAAAAACCGCAUGGUUCUUGGCUGAAAGAUGGCGUAAGCUAUCGCUUUUGGAUGGACCCGCGGCGUAUUAGCUAGUUGGUGAGGUAACGGCUCACCAAGGCAAUGAUACGUAGCCGAACUGAGAGGUUGAUCGGCCACAUUGGGACUGAGACACGGCCCAAACUCCUACGGGAGGCAGCAGUAGGGAAUCUUCCACAAUGGACGCAAGUCUGAUGGAGCAACGCCGCGUGAGUGAAGAAGGCUUUCGGGUCGUAAAACUCUGUUGUUGGAGAAGAAUGGUCGGCAGAAUAACUGUUGUCGGCGUGACGGUAUCCAACCAGAAAGCCACGGCUAACUACGUGCCAGCAGCCGCGGUAAUACGUAGGUGGCAAGCGUUAUCCGGAUUUAUUGGGCGUAAAGCGAGCGCAGGCGGUUUUUUAAGUCUGAUGUGAAAGCCCUCGGCUUAACCGAGGAAGUGCAUCGGAAACUGGGAAACUUGAGUGCAGAAGAAGACAGUGGAACUCCAUGUGUAGCGGUGAAAUGCGUAGAUAUAUGGAAGAACACCAGUGGCGAAGGCGGCUGUCUGGUCUGUAACUGACGCUGAGGCUCGAAAGCAUGGGUAGCGAACAGGAUUAGAUACCCUGGUAGUCCAUGCCGUAAACGAUGAAUGCUAGGUGUUGGAGGGUUUCCGCCCUUCAGUGCCGCAGCUAACGCAUUAAGCAUUCCGCCUGGGGAGUACGACCGCAAGGUUGAAACUCAAAGGAAUUGACGGGGGCCCGCACAAGCGGUGGAGCAUGUGGUUUAAUUCGAAGCAACGCGAAGAACCUUACCAGGUCUUGACAUCUUUUGAUCACCUGAGAGAUCAGGUUUCCCCUUCGGGGGCAAAAUGACAGGUGGUGCAUGGUUGUCGUCAGCUCGUGUCGUGAGAUGUUGGGUUAAGUCCCGCAACGAGCGCAACCCUUAUGACUAGUUGCCAGCAUUUAGUUGGGCACUCUAGUAAGACUGCCGGUGACAAACCGGAGGAAGGUGGGGAUGACGUCAAAUCAUCAUGCCCCUUAUGACCUGGGCUACACACGUGCUACAAUGGAUGGUACAACGAGUUGCGAGACCGCGAGGUCAAGCUAAUCUCUUA
rnacentral:rRNA from 1 species